UUUCUAGAUCUACCUUUUUUCUGUAUUUGAGAACAAAGAGACGCCAGUCAAUGGAAUUCUCAAGCUGGGUCAGGACAAUUGGACCAGUUCGCAGCUCUGUUAACGCCUAUGUAAUCCUGUGACCAACACAGACUGCAGUGUUAUCAUGAUCCCUCCACAAUGUCAAAGAUGGCCUAGAUGAGCCUUUCCUGCAAAGAUGGCAGAUGCAACGUCCAUCACCUUGUCAAUGCCAGGAGACUUCCAGUUUGACAGCACCUUCUAGGUGCCCUACUGACAUCAUCUGCUGUACCCAAAAACACCAGAUCAUAUGAACACCACAAUGAAGCAUUCUCAAUCAACAAAGGUGAAAAGUUAUAAAGGAGGCUCUGCUGUAACUUUAGGCCAAAGGUCUCCAAGUGUGAACACUAAGUGUAGCAAACUGGAGAAAGUCAAAAUACAUGGGUCAAAUCUCACUUUGGCAACUCACUACGUAUAUGACUUUGGGGAAAUUAUUUAUCUUCUCUGUGCCUCAAUUUCCUCUUUUGUUAAAUGACAAGAAUUGGACUAGAACAGAAGUUCUUUACCUUUUUGGUGACAUGCCCCCUUUAGGCAAACUGUAGAAUUC